rnacentral:rRNA from 1 species
UGCCAGCAGCCGCGGUAACACGAAGGGUGCUAGCGUUGUUCGGAAUUACUGGGCGUAAAGCGCACGUAGGCGGAUUGUUAAGUCAGGGGUGAAAUCCCGAGGCUCAACCUCGGAACUGCCUUUGAUACUGGCAAUCUUUGAGUCCGGGAGAGGUGAGUGGAAUUCCCAGUGUAGAGGUGAAAUUCGUAGAUAUUGGGAAGAACACCAGUGGCGAAGGCGGCUAACUGGCUCGGUACUGACGCUGAGAUGCGAAAGCGUGGGGAGCAAACAGGAUUAGAUA